rnacentral:lncRNA from 1 species
CUCUCUUCCUCCGCUGCCUUGGUGAUGGUGAGUGAUGACCUGUAUACUAGUAGGGAGGCAGAAAAACUUCUCAUUCAUACAGCCACACCUAGGGCAUAAAUCUCUAGGGUCAGAAGGGCAAGCAUCCCAGUUCCUUUCUUACCCUACCAGUGUCAAUGGCUGUUCUCCCCCAUUCCUUUCUAUCACACACUCCUACAACAACCAGGCGGGCUGCUGUGAGCAUUCUGAUGGGGCCAAGUCAUCAUUCCUAGGUAUGCACUUAUUUGCAGAUGAUAGUGUGGGAGUCAAAUGAUAAAACAGUCCUUGUUUUCCUAGGAGGAAAUCUACGAUGACGAUCAGGCGGAACUAGAAGACUCAGACAUCUGCUUAACCUGCUCUCCUUAGGAAGGCCUCUCCAGUGGGUUAGGACUAUACAGAGGUGCCCCGGCACUAAUGCCCCAUUUAAGGUUGAAAGCUCAGCUGAGAGAAAAAGUGUGGUGUCAUCGGGUACCCAUCCUAGUAAUAGUUGCCUUCCAUAAGGAGGAUUAACCUGCAUCUCAGGCUCCACUAGGCCAACACAAAUUCCCCUUCAGAAACCAGAUCCUCA